AUUGAACACUGGCGGCAGGCCUAACACAUGCAAGUCGAACGAGUGGCGGACGGGUGAGUAAUGUCUGGGAACCUGCCCGAUGGAGGGGGAUAACUACUGGAAACGGUAGCUAAUCCCGCAUACCAUCGGAUGUGCCCAGAUGGGCUUAGCGAGUAGGUGGGGUAACGGCGCACCAAGGCGACGAUCCCUAGCUGGUCUGAGAGGAUGACCAGCCACCCUGGAACUGAGACACGGUCCAGACUCCUACGGGAGGCAGCAGUGGGGAAUAUUGCGCAAUGGGCGCAAGCCUGAUGCAGCCAUGCGGCGUGUAUGAAGAAGGCCUUCGGGUUGUAAAGUACUUUCAGCGAGGAGGCGUUACUCGCAGAAGAAGCACCGGCUAACUCCGUGCCAGCAGCCGCGGUAAUAC
rnacentral:rRNA from 1 species